AUCCUAUUGGAUAGUUACUGCAUGGGCCCAUACUUGGGACACAAGUAUGGUGGUACAUCGUUUUAUGAUUACCACAGGUCUUUUUCCACAAAGGCUGCUCUGGCACAGUUUAAUUUUCAGGCAGACUGAAGCCAUUUAAAAAUGGUGCUAUUCUGCAGGCACUUUGUGGGCCUCAGGACACCAGCUCGUGUUAAUUGCUCAUUGACCUACCACACAGUCAACCUGUGUCCUAAUACCCCAGAAGUUGGUUCUAACUUUCCUACCUCUGGCACCACGGCUAGACCUGAGAGAGUUAUAAAAAACAAACUAGGACGUUAAGUGUUUUUUUGGGGGGAAAUCCCAGAUAUGUAAUAAUUGUAAUGCAGGUACUUGCAGUUUCUGUGCCUGCACAUUGUUACAUGUAUGUUCACUACGUUUUAUGGCACAUGCCAAGACGAUGUGCCCAAUAAAAAGUACCCCAAACCCUUUUUGGCUUUGAUCAAUGUGAUCUCUUUCGUUAUGUUAUUGCAUAACCCCCCCCACACACACACACACACAUUUGUUGGAAUUUCACCAUGUUUCACAGAGGGGUUCCAUAUGGGCAUUAUUUACAUGCCAUCAGGCAUAGCUGAAUGUAAGAAUCUGCAGACGGCCUUGGCCAACCCUGAGGCAGUGGACUCUCUAUUAAAAAUUGAGGUGGACCAGGGUUUCCUGCUGGGCCCUUCUGUUCCCUGACUUUUUUCAGUAUGGAGAACUAAUCCCAUAGGGGUGGAAUCAGGAAAAAAUUCAGCAAAGCAAAGGUUGAUCAUCAACCCUCUACUCCCUAUUCUUCUACCCUCCCUAGCCUUAACUCACUAAUUUCUUCAGAGGAAUUCUCCCUCCAGUAUGCCACAAUUGACAAUGCCAUUGACGCUGUUCUGUCAGUGGGGAUUGGUGCAUGGCUUAGUAAGACAUCAUAAACACUUUCAAACUUUUACCAAUCCAUCCCUCUCUGCGGCAUCUGCACGGUGUUAAGUGGCAGGGAUUGUAUUAUUUUCUUUCACGUCUCACUUUUGGUUCUAAAAGCAGUCUGACAUUUUUGCUGGCUGCUGCUUAACAUCUGUAGAUGCCCCAUGGUUAUACAUUAUCUAAACAAUUUCUUGCUUAUUACCGCCUAGUAGCUUUAAAGAUACAAUUCAACUUUUUGAAUAUUUAGGGGUGCCAGUCCCUUCAAAAAAGAUGGAGGGACCUGAUACCUUGUUGAUUUCCUGGGCAUCACACUAGACUCGGUUAACAUGCAAGCCAGCCU